rnacentral:rRNA from 1 species
AAAUUCGCCUUCAUGAAGCUGGAAUUGCUAGUAAUGGCAGGUCAGCAUACUGCCGUGAAUACGUUCCCGGGCCUUGUACACACCGCCCGUCACACCAUGAGAGUUGGGAAUACCCGAAGCCUGUGAGCUAACUUAUAGAGGCAGCAGUCGAAGGUAGAAUCAAUGAUUGGGUGAAGUCGUAACAAGGUAAC